rnacentral:rRNA from 1 species
GACGGGGGGGGCAAGUGUUCUUCGGAAUGACUGGGCGUCAAGGGCACGUAGGCGGUGAAUCGGGUUGAAAGUGGAAGUCGCCAAAAAGUGGCGGAAUGCUCUCGAAACCAUUUCACUUGAGUGGGACAGAGGAGAGUGGAAUUCCACGUGUAGCAGUGAAAUGCGUAGAGAUGUGGAGGAACACCGAUGGCGAAGGCAGCCCCCUGGGCUAACACUGACGCUCAUGCACGAAAGCGUGGGGAGCAAACAGG